UGGGAACGUACCCUUCGGUUCGGAAUAACCCGGGGAAACUCGGGCUAAUACCGGAUACGUCCGCAAGGAGAAAGAUUUAUCGCCGAAGGAUCGGCCCGCGUCGGAUUAGCUAGUUGGUGGGGUAACGGCCACCAAGGCGACGAUCCGUAGCUGGUCUGAGAGGAUGAUCAGCCACACUGGGACUGAGACACGGCCCAGACUCCUACGGGAGGCAG
rnacentral:rRNA from 1 species